rnacentral:rRNA from 1 species
UACAGAGGUCCCAAGCGUUAUUCGGAAUUAUUGGGCGUAAAGGGCGCGUAGGCGGCUUGGCAAGUGGAUGGUGAAAUCCCUCGGCUUAACCGAGGAACUGCCGUCCAAACUGCUUCGCUUGAGACCGGGAGAGGUGAGUGGAAUUCCCAGUGUAGCGGUGAAAUGCGUAGAUAUUGGGAGGAACACCAGUGGCGAAGGCGGCUCACUGGACCGGUACUGACGCUGAUGCGCGAAAGCGUGGGGAGCAAACAGG